AUCAAAUGAUGAGAUAUUUGACAGCCUAUCGCUUGGAUCCUCUCUUGACUCAUUCCCCGAGGAAAACCAUCGCCAGUCGAAAUCUUAGCGCGACUUUUUUGAUCUCAAGAGUCGCGUUGUAAAGUCGGCCGGACAGGAAACUCCUCCCUGUCUUGAACUGAAGGACAGAAGCGAUUUUCCGGACGGGGAGGGACAUGCGAAAUUUAAUGAUGGUACUUGGGGAUAGAGGAUCUGACUCGAGAAAUGAGGACUCCUUUAGUAAUCUGAUGAAU
rfam:Phlebotomus papatasi Contig4301.4, whole genome shotgun sequence.